rnacentral:rRNA from 1 species
CCUACGGGAGGCUGCAGUGGGGAAUAUUGGACAAUGGGCGAAAGCCUGAUCCAGCCAUGCCGCGUGUGUGAAGAAGGCCUUCGGGUUGUAAAGCACUUUCAGUGGGGAAGAAAGCCUUGGGGCUAAUACCCUCGAGGAAGGACAUCACCCACAGAAGAAGCACCGGCUAACUCCGUGCCAGCAGCCGCGGUAAUACGGAGGGUGCGAGCGUUAAUCGGAAUUACUGGGCGUAAAGCGCGCGUAGGCGGUCUGAUAAGCCGGUUGUGAAAGCCCCGGGCUCAACCUGGGAACGGCAUCCGGAACUGUCAGGCUAGAGUGCAGGAGAGGAAGGUAGAAUUCCCGGCGUAGCGGUGAAAUGCGUAGAGAUCGGGAGGAAUACCAGUGGCGAAGGCGGCCUUCUGGACUGACACUGACGCUGAGGUGCGAAAGCGUGGGUAGCAAACAGGAUUAGAUACCCUAGUAGUC